rnacentral:rRNA from 1 species
GAUGAACGCUGGCGGCGUGCUUAAUACAUGCAAGUCGAACGGAAGGGCCCUGCUUUUGUGGGGUGCUCGAGUGGCGAACGGGUGAGAGACACGUGUGUAACCUGCACUUGACUUUGGGAUAUCUUCAGGAAAAUGGGGCUAUUACAGGAUAGGAGCUCCUGCUGCAUGGUGGGGGAGAGUGAGUUUCGGCGGUUGGGGAUGGUCUCGCGGCUUAUCAGCUUGUUGGUGGGGUAGUGGCUUACCAAGGCUUUGAAGGGUAGCCGGCCUGAGAGGGUUACCGGCCACAUGGGGACUGAGGUACGGCCCAGACGCCUACGGUAGGCAGCAGUGGGGAAUAUUGCACAGUGGGCGGGAGCCUGAUGCAGCAACGCCGCGUGCGGGAUGACGGCCUUCGGGUUGUAAACCGCUGUCUCCUGUGACGAAGCGUGAGUGACGGUAAUGAGUAAAGAAGCACCGGCUAACUACGUG